AACCUGCCUGGUAGCGGGGGAUAACUAUUGGAAACGAUAGCUAAUACCGCAUAACAGUAGAUAUUGCAUGAUAUCUGCUUGAAAGGGGCAAUUGCUCCACUACCAGAUGGACCUGCGUUGUAUUAGCUAGUUGGUGAGGUAACGGCUCACCAAGGCGACGAUACAUAGCCGACCUGAGAGGGUGAUCGGCCACACUGGGACUGAGACACGGUCCAG
rnacentral:rRNA from 1 species